CCUGCUCAAUGAACCUUAAAUAGCCGCUAUAUGUGCUAAAGUAGCAUAAUAAAUUACUCUUUAAUUAAGAGAUAGAAUGAAAGGAAAUACGAUUUAUUCAUUGCAUCAAACUAUCCUUAUAAAAUUACAAUUUUAGUAAAAAUCCCAUUAUAAAUAAUAGCAGGACGACAAGACCCUAUCGAACUCUCUUUAAAAUUUCACUGGGAAGGUAAAAAACAAAAUCUUUUCACACUUUUCAAUAUACGCUCCACUUGAAUAAAAAUAAGUUACCGUAGGGAUAACAGCAUAAUAAUUUAAAAAAGCUCUCAUCUAAUAAAUUGAUUAUGACCUCGAUGUUGAAUUAACUUCACAUUUUACAGAAAAAAGUAAACAAGUAAGUCUGUUCGACUAUUAAAAAGUUACAU
rnacentral:rRNA from 1 species